AGGUCAAGCGAAAAAGAGCUAACGGUAAAGCCCUAGGCACAUCGAGGCGAAGAAGGACGUGGUAACCGACGAAACGUUGCGGGGAGCUGGAAACAAGCCUUGAGCCGCAAGUAUCCGAAUGGGGCAACCCCAAGAACGGUCUGCUGAAUCUAUAGGCAGAAACGAGCCAACGCGGCGAACUGAAACAUCUUAGUAACCGUAGGAAAAGAAAACCAAAGUGAUUCCCCUAGUAGCGGCGAGCGAACGGGGAGCAGCCUAAACCUCCCACUGCGGUGAGAGGGGUCGUGGGACAGCAAUCGUCAGACGGAGACUCUUAAACGAAGCAACUGAAAACUGCACCAGAGAGGGUAAAAGUCCCGUAGUUGAAAAGGAAAACCGCUGCGCUGUAUCCCGAGUAGUUCGGAACACGAGAAAUUCCGAGUGAAUCAGCCAGGACCACCUGGUAAGGCUAAAUACUCCGAUGUGACCGAUAGCGAACCAGUACCGCGAGGGAAAGGUGAAAAGAACCCCGGCGAGGGGAGUGAAAAAGAACGUGAAACCGUUAGCUUACAAGCAGUGGGAGGACGAUGAAACGUCUGACCGCGUGCCUGUUGAAGAAUGAGCCGGCGAGUAAUUAGUCGUGGCCGGUUAAGCUCACGGAGAGCGAAGCCCAAGGGAAACCGAGUCUGAAAAGGGCGCAAGUCACGGGUAAUUGACCCGAACCCGGGUGAACUAACCAUGACCAGGAGGAAGCUUGGGUAGUACCAAGUGGAAGUCCGAACCGACCAACGUUGAAAAGUUGGCGGAUGAGUUGUGGUUAGCGGUGAAAUGCCAAUCGAACUCGGAGCUAUCUGGUUCUCCCCGAAAUGCGUUUAGGCGCAGCAGCGAAGAAAAAGCAGUGGGGGUAAAGCACUGUUUCGCUACGGGCUGCGAAAGCGGUACCAAAGCGAGACAAACUCAGAAUACCACUGUGAAAAUCGUGAGUGAGACGGUGGGGGAUAAGCUUCAUCGUCAAGAGGGAAACAGCCCAGACCACCAGCUAAGGUCCCGAAAUGAUGGCUAAGUGAAAAAGGAGGUAGGAACGCCAAGACAACCAGGAGGUUUGCCUAGAAGCAGCCACCCUUAAAAGAGUGCGUAAUAGCUCACUGGUCAAGCGUUCCCGCGCCGAAAAUGAACGGGGCUAAGUCAUCUACCGAAGCUGUGGACAGGAAACUGUGGUAGGGGAGCGUUCUAUCAAGGGAGAAGCACUAGCGGCAAGCAGGUGUGGACGAGAUAGAAGUGAGAAUGUCGGCUUGAGUAGCGAAAACUUUGGUAAGAAUCCAAAGCCCCGAAACCCUAAGGGUUCCUCCGGAAGGCUCGUCCGCGGAGGGUUAGUCGGGACCUAAGGCGAGACCGAAAGGUGUAGUCGAUGGACAUCGGGUGAAUAAUCCCGAACGAC
rnacentral:rRNA from 1 species